rnacentral:misc_RNA from 1 species
UCCGGUUUGUCACCGGCAGUCUCCCAUGAGUCCCCAACUUAAUGCUGGCAACAUGGAACGGGGGUUGCGCUCGUUGCGGGACUUAACCCAACAUCUCACGACACGAGCUGACGACAGCCAUGCACCACCUGUGCACUGAUCCCGAAGGAGGACCGUAUUUCUACGGUUUUCCAGUGCAUGUCAAGCCCUGGUAAGGUUCUUCGCGUUGCAUCGAAUUAAACCACAUGCUCCGCUGCUUGUGCGGGGCCCCGUCAAUUCCUUUGAGUUUUAGCCUUGCGGCCGUACUCCCCAGGCGGGGUGCUUAAUGCGUUAGCUACGGCACGGAAGGAGUCGACACCUCCCACACCUAGCACCCAUCGUUUACGGCGUGGACUAC